AGAGAACAUUUGGGGUGCCUUUAUGGCUGAGAUGAUACCCAUUGAACCGGAUGCAGUUCGUACUGUCGAAGGGAAAUGAUUCGCUAUUGAU
rfam:Granulicatella elegans ATCC 700633 genomic scaffold supercont2.1, whole genome shotgun sequence.